rnacentral:rRNA from 1 species
AACAAAAAACAGUGGAUCACAUGGCUAACGCAUCAAUGAAUAAUGCAGCUAGCUGUGAGAAUUAAUGUGAACUGCCAGACACAUUGAUCAUCAACACUUUGAAAGCACUUGUGGCCCCAGAUUCCUCCCAGGGCUAAGCCUGUCUGAUCAUCA